ACCGGUCCAGAGAUGGGACCUUCCAUUCGGGGCACAAAGCCAAGGUGCUGCAUGGCUGUCGUCAGCUCGUGCCGUGAGGUGUUGGGUUAAGUCCCGCAACGAGCGCAACCCUUACCUUUAGUUGCCAGCGGAUCAUGCCGGGGACUCUAAAGGGACUGCCUCCGCAAGGAGCGAGGAAGGCGGGGACGACGUCAAGUCAUCAUGGCCCUUACGCUUAGGGCUACACACGUGCUACAAUGGCCGGUACAGAGGGUUGCCACCUGGUGACAGGGAGCCAAUCUCAAAAAGCCGGUCUCAGUUCGGAUCGAAGUCUGCAACUCGACUUCGUGAAGCCGGAAUCGCUAGUAAUCGCGCAUCAGCAACGGCGCGGUGAUACGUUCCCGGGCC
rnacentral:rRNA from 1 species